AUUGAACGCUGGCGGCAGGCCUAACACAUGCAAGUCGAACGAGUGGCGGACGGGUGAGUAAUGUCUGGAAAACUGCCCGAUGGAGGGGGAUAACUACUGGAAACGGUAGCUAAUCCCGCAUCCCGUCGGAUGUGCGCCGAGGGGAUUAGCUAGUAGGUGGGGUAACGGCUCACCUAGGCGACGAUCCCUAGCUGGUCUGAGAGGAUGACCAGGCACACGGGAACUGAGACACGGUGCAGACUCCUACGGGAGGCAGCAGGGGGGAAUAUGGCACAAUGGGCGCAAGCCUGAUGCAGUCAUGCCGCGUGGAUGAAGAAGGCCUUCGGGUUGUAAAGUACUUUCAGCGGGGAGGCGUUACCUGGAGAAGAAGCACCGGCUAACUCCGUGCCAGCAGCCGCGGUAAUUC
rnacentral:rRNA from 1 species